rnacentral:rRNA from 1 species
AGCGAACGCUGGCGGCAGGCCUAACGCAUGCAAGUCGAACGAAGUCUUCGGACUUAGUGGCGGACGGGUGUGUAACACGUGGGAACGUGCCUUUAGGUUCGGAAUAACUCAGGGAAACUUGUGCUAAUACCGAAUGUGCCCUUCGGGGGAAAGAUUUAUCGCCUUUAGAGCGGCCCGCGUCUGAUUAGCUAGUUGGUGAGGUAAAGGCUCACCAAGGCGACGAUCAGUAGCUGGUCUGAGAGGAUGAUCAGCCACAUUGGGACUGAGACACGGCCCAAACUCCUACGGGAGGCAGCAGUGGGGAAUCUUGCGCAAUGGGCGAAAGCCUGACGCAGCCAUGCCGCGUGAAUGAUGAAGGUCUUAGGAUUGUAAAAUUCUUUCACCGGGGACGAUAAUGACGGUACCCGGAGAAGAAGCCCCGGCUAACUUCGUGCCAGCCGCCGCAGUAAAAC